UGUAGCUUCGUGCCACAGCUCUCCCAUCUCACUGGGCAUGGCAGUGGCACCGUGGCACUGCUCACACGUGGCGUGGGCAGUGCCCUUUCCCCACGUUGCCUCUCAGGUGCAGGAGUGGUUUGUAUCAGCUUCUGAAGGGCUGCACAGGACAUCUCUCCGAAUCCAGGAAUGAAGGCCAGAUCUUGAGCCAGGGGAGUUGUUUGGCUGGAGACAGCUCUCCACAGAGCUGGUUUGUUCACAGGCAACAGGAGUUCAUCUAUUUUUCAUCAUGGUGAUGCUAUUUCUGAAUAAGAGAGAAAAAUGCGGGCUUAUUUCUGAAGCAUAUGAUUUUGUUCUUGGCCUUUAAAGAUUUGUUUAUUUUGAAUGGAAGCCCAGAAUGCACAUAAUGUAGCAAAAAACUGCAGAUACAGACAGGGAUUUUUGUUUCACCUUUCAAGUUACUCCCACUCCUGAUGCUAGGGCAGUAACAUUUGAAAAGGCUUUGGAUGUUUUUCCUUUCCUUGCAAAGAAACAAAUGAAAAUAACGAUCCUGGAGCAAUACUGAAGGCACCUGCUUCCAGAUAGCUCUGCUGAAAGCAGCAAGGUACAACCAGGCACCCCAGGGAGAUGAGGAAAAUAUCCUGGGAACUGCCACCCUGACAGAGUUUCCCUGUGACUGCAGUGCCUGCUCCUGGGACACGUGGCAAGGGGAUGAACACGAGCUCCCCAGACAGUCCUGAUGGGAAGGUCUUUAGGAAAGCACAGUUAGUUCACAGCCCUUUCAGGAAUUCACCUGCAGAGCUGGACGGAGCUGAGACAGGAGAAACAGUGCUACAGAUGCUCAGAGGAAGCUGCAAAGGAUGAAUGCUCACUGUCAGCACAUCGUGACAGGAUUACAUUCCACUCCUGCUUUUCUCCUCCCCUUGGCCAGGGCAGCAGAUGGACCCUAAGGAGGAGGCCAUGGUGUGGGAGGAUGGAUGGUUUGGCUGCAGGGAGCUGCAUCUCAGCUGCUCUGCCCAGGGAGACAGGGGGUCAUCCUGCCUGACUGGGAGAUGCUCCCACUCCCCCUGAUGUCUGCUCAUGAUUGCAAAUCUGGUCCAGCUCAUGAGACAAGGAUUGGGAGUUUCAGCCAGGCGUAGCUGCAGCCAGAAAAGCCCUUGACCAAGUGCCACUAACCCAUGACUUCCUCCCUCUUAUGAAAUCUCUGCAGCAAGAUGCUGCUGGCUGAUCUUACACAGCAGAAGUGGCAGGCGUGCAGCUUGUUCUGGGAAACUGCACUUGCUUCACCUAACUGGUAGGGCAGGACAGGCCAAAUAUCAGUGCUGGAGUGGAGGGUCCAGAGAUCUUGAGGUCCAGCUGAACUGAGCGUCUGUGCUUGGUUUGCAGCUGAGUGCCAGGGACAACAGGACAGUCUGAAUGCGAGGACCUGUACCAAAAAUCCCCCUACUUGGUGCUCUGAGAGCAUCCAGGUAUUUUCACCCUCCUCAUUUCUUCCUACAGAGGCUUCUAUUUAAGCAGAUGAGCGAUGCUAGGUGAAAGGACAUCCUCCUCCAGGAACGGAUCUUAAACCUUAUACUUGAUAGUAGAGUCCCUUCUGAGUGAGGCUGCUGCUCAGAAGAGCUGUCCUACCUGUUUGAUCCCCUCUGUCCUGUAAACCAGCUGUUGGUGGGAGCAUUUCUCCGCUGUAGGGAGGGGAAGAAGGGCACAGUAUCGUGGAGUCAUACAGCUUGGAAAAGACCCCCGAGAUCAUCAAGUCCAACCUUCGAUUGAAUGCCACCAUACCCACUAAGCCAUAUCAUUAAAUUCCAUCUCUACUUGUUUUUUUUUAACACUCCCAGGCAUGGUGAUUCCACCACUUCCUGUAGUUUGAGUCCUUGCCUGGAAGCAGCCCAGGUGUGACUGUCUUUUCUGAAUGACACAGAGCAGUUCACCUGGGUGUGUGGGUGAGCAAUCACCUAGGCAUGGUGAAAAUUUGACCUUCACCUUCUGCCCUGAAUGUGGGAAGUGUCAUUUCCCCAUCAUGAGGGAAGGAUAAACAUGUGGAUGUGGAAGAGCUUCUGAAGGACUCUUAGCAACUCAAAAGACAUAUCAAAAACAAGGCAGCAGAAUUUCUGAAUAGACAUCUAAGGUCACCAAUGCUGUUGGUGAUUAGCACCUUGUCCACGUGUAUUGUGAUGAUGCCAUCAAACACAAACAAUUCUCCAUUCCCCAGGGUAGGACUGUGAUUGAGACAGUAACAAAUCUCUGUUAAGAGGGAGACCACAAAGAUGUGUUUUUAAAAUCCUUACGUUUCCAAGUUCACAGGGUUUUUUAUUUCUUAGUAUUAUGCUAAGACACAUAAAGCCAUAAAAAUUAUUCCUUAGGUACUUAGACCUAUAAAUGUCUCUAAGGUGAGAACUAAAGUCAAAGAAACUUUUGCCACUGAUUGUACCUGAGAGAAUUUAACUUUUUUCCUCCAAUGUUCUCACUUCAAAUGUAUCAUCAUGCUUCUGUUAAUUUAGUGUGAGCAUUGUAUGCACAGCUGGAGGCAGAGCAUGCCCCAAAAGCUGACUACAUUUCAAGAGUGCGCUGUGAAAGAGAAAUCAGGUGAGACACUAGCAAGGGUUUCAUCUCUGGGAUCCUGUAAAGGAGCAUGCAGCUUCUUCCAGCAUUUCCUCAUUCAUUCCAUAAAGUUGAUUCCACUUUUAGAGAGUAUUGCCAGAUGAUAAAGACAAAUGACAUUCAAAAAAAGGUAAAAACUCCUAAUGAAACUUGCAGAGAGAGGACUUUCCCCUCCUCCCACCCCACUUGUCCGAGGAUUUGGUAGCCAGACCCAGGUCAGACACCUCAGUAAAUCUGACAUUAGAACUACUGCUGUCGGAUGAAAAAUGUGAUCACCACCAAGAAACGAACUACUGAUCUGGCGUGAACUCACUCGAGCGCUUUGAACAGGUUAGAAAUGGCUCAUGGUGUGUCUUCGUGCGCUCUGGGGAGCUCGGCAGGAGCGGAACCGAGCGCCCACGGUGGAUGCAGAUACCGCAGUGCCCCCGCCUGGCUGCUGAGGAGCCGCUGUCACGGUGAAACUCCUCCCGAUUUCGUGUCCUCACACCAAACAGGUUUUUGUUCGGCUUCCAGGGAAUUCACUAAAGCACAGCGGGCAGUAGAGCCGAUGUCCUCCUGGCACAGGAGCAGGGUAGCGGAGAGGGGGACUGCAAUGCUGCACAAACGGAGUAGACAGCUCUCAGGUCAUUUGAAGCAGUACUACGACUGUGCCACAGUGCUUCCAUCAGCCUCUGCUCUGAAGAAUUGAGCAUGCCUUGGCUCAGCACACAUGUCCUUGCAUCAGUGAAUCCAUCUGCUUGUGAGCUGACUUGUGCUUAAGAACUGGGCAUUUAGUCUUGGCCCUUUCAAUGUCUCAUCUCACACAAAUCAUUUGCUGAUUUUGACCCAAAAGUCUGGAUGUAACAAAGGAGAACCAAACACAGACUCUGCACAUGGUACUGAUGUUGGCAAUGGGUGAGGAGGAGAAAGGACAAAGACCUGAUUCUUCUUUGUGUAACAGAUUUGUCCACGUUGUUACCAGAUACCACAGGCUUUGACACUGGGGGUCUCCUGGCUUUCUGACCGGCAUAGUCCCACCCAGGCCAGCCCAGAAGCUGGGGGCCUCCAUGUGGGAGGCUGCACAGAACGGGCAGCAGAGCUGGUGCUCUGUCCUCUGCCUGGACACUCAGGCGGCCAGAAGCAUGCCCACCCCAGCAAUUGCCCAUGUCCUGCAGCCUUGUGAAGCACCAGCAAUCUGCAGUGCAGGGUCUGGGUGCUGACUGAUCUUCCUUGACCUCAGACACCUCACCAAAGAUGGGCAGCAGCCUGUCCAGGCAACCAUUUCCCUCCAGCAGCUGAAGUGCAGACAGUCAGGAAGGGGCUAGUUGAAACCAAACUAAAGUGUGCCUGAAAUAAAGCCAGUUCAGAGACAA